rnacentral:rRNA from 1 species
AUUUAUGUUGGAGUAGUAGGAGAGCGUUCUGUUCAGCAGGGAAGGUCGACCGUGAGGGCGGCUGGAGCGGACAGAAGUGAGAAUGCAGGCAUGAGUAGCGUAUAAAUAUGUGAGAACCAUAUUCGCCGUAAAUCUAAGGUUUCCGACGCCAGGUCAUUCCGCGUCGGGUUAGUCGACCCUUAGUCGAGGCCGAAAGGCGUAGACGAUGGAUAUCCGGUUAAUAUUCCGGAACCACUUAUGACGAGUGAUGAGGGGACACAGCGAGGUAAGCUAGCCAGCGAUUGGUUGUGCUGGUGCAAAUCAUCUAGGCGUUGACGACUGUAGGAAAAUCCGCAGACUGAGCUGAAAUGUGAAUGCGAGCCCCUGAGGCAGAAGUAGCCUAGCCUUGCUGUCAAGAAAAGCCUCAAU